rnacentral:rRNA from 1 species
CGAUGAUCGGUAGCUGGUCUGAGAGGAUGAUCAGCCACACUGGAACUGCGACACGGUCCAGACUCCUACGGGAGGCAGCAGUGGGGAAUAUUGGACAAUGGGGGAAACCCUGAUCCAGCAAUGCCGCGUGGGUGAUGAAGGCCUUCGGGUUGUAAAGCCCUUUCGGCGGGGACGAUGAUGACGGUACCCGCAGAAGAAGCCCCGGCUAACUUCGUGCCAGCAGCCGCGGUAAUAUGAAGGGGGCUAGCAUUGUUCGGAAUUACUGGGCGUAAAGGGCGCGUAGGCGGCCUUGCGCGUCGUGCGUGAAAGGCCUGGGCUCGACCCAGGAAUGGCGCUCGAUACGGCAUGGCUAGAGUGCAGGAGAGGAUGGUGGAAUUCCCAGUGUAGAGGUGAAAUUCGUAGAUAUUGGGAAGAACACCGGUGGCGAAGGCGGCCAUCUGGACUGCAACUGACGCUGAGGCGCGAAAGCGUGGGGAGCAAACAGGA